rnacentral:rRNA from 1 species
CCCUUAGAUGUUCUUGGCCGCACGCGUGCUACACUGAGUAAAUCAAUGGGUAAGGGAACACGAAAGUGCAACCUAAUCUUGAAAUUUGCUCGUGAUGGGGAUCGACGGUUGCAAUUUUCCGUCGUGAACGAGGAAUACCUUGUAGGCGCGUGUCAUCAUCACGCGCCGAAUACGUCCCUGCCCUUUGUACACACCGCCCGUCGCUCCUACCGAUUGAGUGAUCCGGUGAGGCUCUGGGACCUGGACGGAAAGAGCGUUUCGCUUGUUCUGUUUGGGAAACUUGGUCGAACCUUAUCAUUUAGAGGAAGGAGAAGUCGUAACA